rnacentral:lncRNA from 1 species
UCUUUUUUUUAGGGGGAGGUAGCAGAGGGAGAGGGACAGAGAGAGUCUGAAGAAGGUUCCACGUCCAGCAUGGAGCCUGACUACAGGCUCAAUUUCACAAUCUUGAGAUCAUGACCUAAGCCAAAAUCAAAAGUUGGACAUUUAAAACAAAACAAAACAAAACAAAACAAAAGUUGGACAUUUAACCAACUGAGCAACCAACUAUACCCUCUUUCUUUUGUUUGCUGUCCUUUGCUCUGUUGUAUACUCAGCUACAAUUUUAUCAUUUCCUGUUUUCUCACUUCUGGGAAUCCCAGACAUCCUUCUAGAACUUCCUGUGCCAUCAAUACUGAACAUGUGACAUUCUAGGCAACUUCACUCCUGACAUCUUUUUAUGAGAACAAUGUUUUUGAAGAUUCUAAGCUCUGGAAGAAUAAGCGUGGAUUAUGACAAAAAUUUCUCAGGGUGCUGGCAGGUGGCCCAAUGCCACGCAUCUGGAAACCUACCCUGGACAUGUGGUGUUUCCUCCACUUACAGAGACCUGAGGGUGAGGAAAGAGAAAGUUUCCCAUUUCAAAGCUACAGAUCUUCCUUCUUUGAUACCCAAGCCUGAGUCCCAGAUCUCAUUGUCCUUUCUUUGUUUCAGCAGAAGCUUAAAAGAGUCUUUUGAUAUACAAAGGCAGGCCCAAUACAAGUGCAAAAUGAAAAGCCCAAUUUCUCUGCAUAAUAAAGUAAAGAGAAUUGAUGGUCACCUGAAAUAAGGUAAAAGUGGUAUUAAGAGGGUAACUGAAACAGGAGUGGAAGGGGCAGAAAUGACCACGGAACAUGUAAGUCCCAGAGGAACUGGAUAAUAGAACCAAUUUGAUUUAAAUUGCAAAAAAGCGAGGUGACCUUAGCUACCAUUUGGGUUAUGCAAUUCACCUCUCUUAACAGAACAUGCAGGCUGAGCACAACUUUCUCUCCACAGAAUAAACGUUGGGAACUGAGUCA